rnacentral:lncRNA from 1 species
UGUGUUCUACCUAGCCAGGAUUGCCACUAAGCUGACAAAUACCACUCAAAGAUCAUCUUCUGACUACAAACUGCUCAGGACAUUCGAAAUGCUGAGUUCAUAUGAGACUGACACAAACAUUUUAUAGAACUUUGAACUAUUAAAAUUCUUAAUCCUAUUACUGCCAAAUAACAACCAAGCUGUACAUUGUGGAAAGCUUGGCAGAAAUAGCUUCAUUAUUGUAGAUAGGUUUACUCUACUAGAGUUAAAACCUUUAUUUAGAUAAAAGGAAGGAAAUGUUGCAGGAUAUUUGAUCACACUAUGAACUCUGAGAUUAUGUUAUUUACUGGACAAAACCUAUUUUUAGUUGUGGUGUGGCUCAGCCUUAGCACACACCUUUAAUUCAAUAACUUUCUGCGUGAAUAUUGUAAACAGUAUUAAUAGAGUCAAACAUAGGCUGUGAGAUGAGCAAGUAUCCAGUUGAUAGGAAGUUAACAUAGAAUUUUUAAGGAAGGAAAAAAAAACCAAACCAGAGAGGGAGUCAGAAGAAUGGAUAGGGAGAUGCACAGGAAGUAGGAGGGAGGGACAUUCAGGGGAUUGCUGGUGGGAUGUUGGCUGGGAAAGAAGGUCAGCUGAGUUCUGUCUCUGUGUCUUGAGUCUCUGAGCCAGCAGGCUUUCCCCCUCAGCACCUGGCUCCUGAGUCUUUAUUGGUAAAAUCAAUGAUUGAGAUUUUGUUAAAAACAAAACCAGGCAGGUGCUGUAUCUCGCAAUUUUUUUUUUUUUAAAGAAAAAGCUGUGUGUCUGUGUGUCUGCAUUUGAGUGCAGGUGUACAGGGAAGCCAGAGGUAUCAGAUCUCCCAGAAGUAUCGGAUCCCCUAGAGUUGGAAUUACAGGUAGUUGUGAGGUACCAGACAAUCUCCGGUACUGUGCAAGAUAUGUGCUCUUAAUCAGUGAGCUGUUUCUCUACCCCAUCCAUUUUAGGAUGGGCCUUCCUUAAACCUUUCUGGAGACAAUCUCUGAAACUGCGGUCCAAGGUGCUUGUUCUAGAGGACUCUAGAAGGCAGGGGAACUAAGCCUUCUGAGUACAUUUAUAUUUUUUCUUUGGUGUUUAGAGCUGUUAUCCUAUUUUAAAAGUUGGAUUUUUACUUUUAAGUUACUUAAAAAAAUAUAUGCUGGGUAGUAAAUCUUUUUUGUUUUUUAAGGGGAAUUGAACUCAGGACCUCUGGAAGAGCUGUCAGUGCUCUUAACUGCUGAGUCAUCUCUCCACCCCCAGUAAAUCUUUUCUAGAUAUGUGAUUAGCAAAUACUUCCUCUUAGCUUUGGUUUAUGUUUUCAGUUUUGCCUGAGUUUACUGGCAGCACUUGGGAGGCAGAGGCAGGCAGAUCUCUUUGAGUUUCAGACCAGCGUGGACUACAGAGUGGCUUCCAGAACAUCAAAGGCUAAACAGAAACCUUUUGAAAAACAAAACAAAAAAGAAACUUGUCUAAUCCAGGGUUGCAAAGAUUUAUACCUGUGAUUUCUUCUAAGGGUUUUAUAGUUUAGUUCUUACGUUUACGUCUUUUAUUAUUAUUUUUGUAUGAGUGUUUUCCUAGGCUAUUAGUUUAAAAAGACUGAGCCUUAUAGGUCAGGUCUGUAAUUCCAGCUACUUGAGGUUAAGUUAGAAGGAUCUCAGUUUCAAAGCCUGCCUAGGAUGAAGUCUCAACAUGGCUGCCUAAAGAAGACUGGAAUGAGGAUGAUGCCAAGGCAUUCUAACAUGGAAGGGGGAACUCUCAUGGGGCCCAACAUUUC